GGCUUGUCUUACAAAAAUCGAGGCCUGCUGAAACAUUUUGAGGAAAACAUUUGUUUCAUUUUGUGUGAUAUGGAUCUUCCCUUGAGUCAAGGACAGAAGAUAAAGGAGGAAAGUUUGACAUUUUGACUUCAGUCUGGAAUGCAGCAGAUGGACUCCCAAAACACUUCCACUGAUACCAGCAGGUUUACUGGGAUGAGAAUCAGUUUUAAAGACCUCAACCAAAGCAUGAUCAAAUGGAUGACGAAAACCUCCUGAAUUCAGCAAGGCCUAAGAGAGAUAUCAUGGGACUUCCUGAGACGUUUAGGUGAUAUUUACAGUGAUCUGCUGCUAGAGGAGCACUAAAUCACAGUUAUUUGUCUACUGGGAAUUUAAAUGCCUGGGACGCAGUCCUACAUCAUUGCCUCAUCAGUCAUGGGGAAGCUGAAGGAAGAGUACAUUUGGACCAGGACAAGUCAAUACCAAGGGCUGUACUUUCAUUAAGGUACAGUUAUGAACAUGGGGUAGCUUUGGACUAGCUCAGGUGUCUGUCACCACAACAGACUGGAGAUCCUAAGGAGUUUGCAGCCUUGCUCCUCUGCUUUCUCGGUAGGUUUUAUUGCCUUUCCUGAGCUGCAUGAGUGAAGAUCACGAGUCAGCAACACUAUGGUGGGCACAGCAGUACAGUAGUGUCAGAGAAGACUCACGUGAUUCAUCCUAGUUUCACACAGGCAGAAGAGAGAGAAGGGCAAACAGCUUGGGUUAUCAGGGAGCUGUAAUAUUUUGGUGAUGUUUUUCUGCCUUUAUAUCCUUAAUUUUGCCAGAUGCCCAAAUUAUGACGAACAUUACUUCAGAAACCCCACUUGCGUGCUUGCAAUCCAAGGUGAAAUUGCAUCUACAGAACUACUGGUAGAAUUUUUAGGUUUUUCUUUCUCUAAUUCCUGUAUCAUUAAUGAAUUCUUCCACUAAGUACAUAUCAAAGAAUUUGUGGUUUUCCUCACACAGGAAGUGAAUUAAGAAUGAGAAUUUGUUCUGCUCUUCCUCAUAAUACAAUGAAAGGCUGAAGUCAAGUUAGUGAAUUACUUCAAAAUAGAAAGCUCUCUUUUUGCUCUGUGAAACACUUUACAAUUACCUUUUGCUGUAAUUUACAUGUAAAAUUACCUUUACCUGUAAUUUGAGACUCUUGUUCACUCACCUACUCACUUUAUAUAAUGAAGCACAGUCCUUCUGAACAGGAACACAAAAAUGUGUUCCACUAAAACUGAGAGAGUGAAUGAGGCCAAGGUCAUCACACAGGGGUGGGAACAGCCAUAUCCUGCUCUGCAGGCUUUGGCAUUGCCCACCUUUAACAAAGAGCCCAGAGAAAAAAAAUGCUUUGAAUGCUGAAUAAGACCUUAAGUUAAUGUGGGAGAAACGGACAGGCACAGAUUUCCUUCAAACAGAUUUGGGAAACCCUGCUACAGCCUCUAUGUCAGCUUUUGUUGACGCUAUUCCUGGGGGUCACUUUCCAUCAAUGUAUUUUAAGAUUAUCCUGUAAAAAGGGGCUGCAUCCAGGAUGGUCUCUGCCAGGUGGGAGCUCUCAGACUACCAUCUGGUGGUGCCUUCAACAUAUUCGCACGUAAAUAAAUGAACAAACAUGGCGAGGUCCAUGACAGAGGGUGCCAUGUGGUUCCGUUGUCUCUAUUUUUUGUAUUGCUCUCACAUGCUGUAUUGCUCUCACAUGCACUAUAAUCUAAAUGGAGUGUUUUAAAAAAAAAAAAAAUAUUUACAUUUAAAAAUCCAUCACCUUGACACUUUGG
rnacentral:lncRNA from 7 species